rnacentral:ncRNA from 1 species
AGGGAUUGGGGCUUGCAAUUGUUCCCCAUGAACGAGGAAUUCCCAGUAAGCGCGAGUCAUAAGCUCGCGUUGAUUACUCACGCUUUG